rnacentral:rRNA from 1 species
AGCGAACGCUGGCGGCAGGCUUAACACAUGCAAGUCGAACGGGCGUAGCAAUACGUCAGUGGCAGACGGGUGAGUAACGCGUGGGAACGUACCUUUUGGUUCGGAACAACCCAGGGAAACUUGGGCUAAUACCGGAUAAGCCCUUACGGGGAAAGAUUUAUCGCCGAAAGAUCGGCCCGCGUCUGAUUAGCUUGUUGGUGAGGUAACGGCUCACCAAGGCGACGAUCAGUAGCUGGUCUGAGAGGAUGAUCAGCCACAUUGGGACUGAGACACGGCCCAAACUCCUACGGGAGGCAGCAGUGGGGAAUAUUGGACAAUGGGCGCAAGCCUGAUCCAGCCAUGCCGCGUGAGUGAUGAAGGCCCUAGGGUUGUAAAGCUCUUUGUGCGGAAGAUAAUGACGGUACCGCAAGAAUAAGCCCCGGCUAACUUCGUGCCAGCAGCCGCGGUAACACUUG